CGUGUAGGGAGCGCUUCUCGGGUGAUAUGCUUCAGUGGGCGAGCUUUCCGUUUGAUCAACUGUUACUGUAUGAUCUAAACCAGGAUCGAGGGUGAUCUGCUUUUUAAGAAUCCAUUUUUCUCUUCAAUCUCUUGACACCUUUUUCAUGUUAUAAUGUAGUGUAAGAGAGGGAGGGAGAGGGGAAACAAAGAGAGCUCUCCUGAUGGGCGUGUGUCUCCUCCGUGUCUCAACACGGUGUGUUACGAGUAAAGAAACCACCACACUCACCUUUAUCGACUAGAUUACAGACGGAACUCUAUUAUGUCCUAAUCUGUAAGUGACUCGCAAUCAAUGAAAUCCAUUCAAAGCCGAAGCAUUUGACCGCGUUUACAGCACCAGGAUCUGGACCUUUCUGCUACUCCUCCACCACCAUUAUCACAGUGGACCUGACUUCCUUUCUGACUUUAUUGUUGCCCAUACAGCUGGAAACUUUGCCUGCAAAUUUAAGAGUUCAUGAAUUUCAGUCAUUGUUUCUGGUAGUGUGUGCAACAACUCAAGCUCCCAAAGAGUUGCACCCGAUGGGUGUCCACUCAACUCAACUCAAAACCAUGGAAGUUUACCCCCUGGUGUUAUUAAGCGUGAACCGAGUUAGGCCUAUGAGAUGGCUCAUUCGACUUGGUACUAAUGAUGAAACCCAUAGCUACACUUAACAAAUAUCAUAUGGUAGAUCUUCACUUUGUAUGUUACGCUAUAAUGCAAAACCAGUCCCACACCCACUAUAGAUGGUGAUUGUCAUGACAUGUUGUUGGCGAGUCCAUUGUGUCUGAAGAGGAUCCUUCUCCACUGGAUCUUCCCACUGACACAGUGAAUAUUGUUGUUACUUUUGCCUGUGUACUUGUCACAAGAGCGGCGGAAGGUAUAACAAGUGGCGGUGAUGGUGGUGGUGGUGAUAUUGUCGCAUGCAGGGUACUGCCAGUACUAUGUCAGGUAUGCUGGUUAACCAGUUCAACGCUCUCCUUCUGCUUCUACUGGGAAGAAGGCUAGUAUUGGGGUGUGACCUUAAGUCCAUCAUAGCAAUGGGUUAUUAAAUAUGUAUAAACAAACAGUGCAUUGAAUGGCAUGGGAUUUAUCUGCAAUUGGAUUCUUUCGAGAUAAUCUGAACAUGCAUUAAAGCAUUGUCAUAUUGAUUGUA